GACGACAUUAGACGAAUCAUCUGGAAAGAUGAAUCAAAGAAGGUAAUAAUCCUGUAGUCGAAAAUGUUGUCUCUCUUGAGUGGAUCCUGAGUACGACGGAGCACGUGAAAUUCCGUCGGAAUCUGGGAGGACCAUCUCCUAAGGCUAAAUACUCUCUAGUGACCGAUAGUGAACCAGUACCGUGAGGGAAAGGUGAAAAGCACCCCGGAAGGGGAGUGAAAUAGAACCUGAAACCGUGUGCU
rnacentral:rRNA from 1 species